rnacentral:rRNA from 1 species
GACGAACGCUGGCGGCGUGCCUAAUACAUGCAAGUAGAACGCUGAAGGUUGAGCUUGCUCUUCUGGAUGAGUUGCGAACGGGUGAGUAACGCGUAGGUAACCCGUCUGGUAGCGGCGGAGAACCAUUGGAAACGAUAGCUAAUACCGCAUAAGAGUAGAUUUUGCAUAACAUUUGCUUAAAAAGUGCAUUUGCAUCACUACCACAUGGACAUGCGUUGUAUUAGCUUGUUGGUGGGGUAACGGCUCACCAAGGCGACGAUACAUAGCCGACCUGGGAGGGUGAUCGGCCACACUGGGACUGAGACACGGCCCAGACUCCUACGGGAGGCAGCAGUAGGGAAUCUUCGGCAAUGGACGGAAGUCUGACCGAGCAACGCCGCGUGAGUGAAGAAGGUUUUCGGAUCGUAAAGCUCUGUUGUAAGAGAAGAACGAGUGUGAGAGUGGAAAGUUCACACUGUGACGGUAUCUUACCAGAAAGGGACGGCUAACUACGUG